rnacentral:ncRNA from 1 species
GCCCGGCGCAUGCCGGGCGACCCGCUCCAGGUACAGCAUCAGGUGGGGAGUUUUGACUGGGGCGGUACACCUGUCAAAGCGUAACGCAGGUGUCCUAAGGCGAGCUCAGGGAGGCCAGAAACCUCCCGUGGAGCAGAAGGGCAAAAGCUCGCUUGAUCUUGAUUUUCAAUACGAAUACAGACCAUGAAAGCGGGGGGGCCCUCACUACAAGAAAGACAUCGAGACACUGGAGCGUGUUCAGAGAAGGGC